GGCGUGUACUGCUUGGCUGGGCCUUACUUCUUGGUGAGCCGGCGUGCCCUUUAUUGGUGUGCGUCGGGGAACCAGGACUUUUACCUUGAGAAAAUUAGAGUGUUCAAAGCAGGCCUAUGCCUGAAUACAUUAGCAUGGAAUAAUAGAAUAGGACGUGCGGUUCUAUUUUGUUGGUUUCUAGAGUCGCAGUAAUGAUUAAUAGGGACAGUUGGGGGCAUUGGUAUUGAGUCGCUAGAGGUGAAAUUCUUGGAUUGACUCAAGACCGACUAUUGCGAAAGCAUUUGCCAAGGAUGUUUUCAUUAAUCAAGAACGAAGGUUAGGGGAUCGAAAACGAUCAGAUACCGUUGUAGUCUUAACAGUAAACUAUGCCGACUAGGGAUCGGAUGACCUCAAAAUUGAUGUGUCAUUCGGCACCUUACGAGAAAUCAAAGUCUUUGGGGUUCUGGGGGGGAGUAUGGGUCGCAAGGGCUGAAACUUAAAGGAAUUGACGGAAGGGCACCACCAGGUGUGGAGCCUGCGGCUUAAUUUGACUCAACACGGGGAAACUCACCAGGUCCAGACAUAACUAGGAUUGACAGAUUGAUAGCUCUUUCAUGAUUUUAUGGGUGGUGGUGCAUGGCCGUUCUUAGUUGGUGGAGUGAUUUGUCUGGUUAAUUCCGAUAACGAACGAGACCUUAACCUGCUAAAUAGCCAGGCCGGCUUCGGCUGGUCUCUGGCUUCUUAGAGGGACUGUCAG
rnacentral:rRNA from 1 species